rnacentral:tRNA from 1 species
CGGGCUAUAGCGCAGUUGGUAGCGCGCCUGGUUUGGGACCAGGAGGCCGAGGGUUCAAAUCCCUCUGGCCCGACCA